rnacentral:tRNA from 1 species
GCGCCUGUGGUGGAAUUGGCAGACACGCUAGAUUUAGGUUCUAGUGGGCGACCGUGGGGGUUCAAGUCCCUCCAGGCGCACCA